rnacentral:rRNA from 1 species
GUAACACGUAUACAAUCUGCCCGUAACUGGGGCAUAGCCCGGAGAAAUCCGGAUUAAUACCCCAUAUUAUAAGGACAUGGCAUCAUGACUUUAUCAAAGCUCCGGCGGUUACGGAUGAGUAUGCGCAACAUUAGCUAGUUGGUGAGGUAAAGGCCCACCAAGGCGACGAUGUUUAGGGGGUCUGAGAGGAUGAUCCCCCACACUGGUACUGAGACACGGACCAGACUCCUACGGGAGGCAGCAGUAGGGAAUAUUGGUCAAUGGACGCAAGUCUGAACCAGCCAUGCCGCGUGCAGGAAGAAGGUCCUAUGGAUUGUAAACUGCUUUUCUACGGGAAGAAACCCCUGGAUGCGUCCGGGGCUGACGGUACCGUAGGAAUAAGGAUCGGCUAACUCCGUGCCAGCAGCCGCGGUAAGACGGAGGAUCCAAGCAUUGUCCGGAUUUACUGGGUUUAAAGGGUGCGUAGGCGGAUAACUAAGUCAGUGGUGAAAGCCUGUAGCUUAACUACAGAAGUGCCACUGAAACUGGUUGUCUUGAGUACGGUUGAGGUUGUUGGAAUGCAUCAUGUAGCGGUGAAAUGCUUAGAUAUGAUACAGAACACCAAUUGCGAAGGCAGACAACUAAGCCGUAACUGACGCUGAGGCA